rnacentral:rRNA from 1 species
GACGAACGCUGGCGGCGUGCUUAACACAUGCAAGUCGAACGGAAAGGCCCUGCUUUUGUGGGGUGCUCGAGUGGCGAACGGGUGAGUAACACGUGAGUAACCUGCCCUUGACUUUGGGAUAACUUCAGGAAACUGGGGCUAAUACCGGAUAGGAGCUCCUGCUGCAUGGUGGGGGUUGGAAAGUUUCGGCGGUUGGGGAUGGACUCGCGGCUUAUCAGCUUGUUGGUGGGGUAGUGGCUUACCAAGGCUUUGACGGGUAGCCGGCCUGAGAGGGUGACCGGGCACAAUAGGACUGAGGUACGGCCCAGACUCCUACGGGAGGCAGCAGUGGGGAAUAUUGCACAAUGGGCCGAAGCCUGAUGCAACAACCCCCCGUUCGGGAUGACCGCCUUCGGGGUGUAAACCGCUUUCGCCGGUGACGAAGCCGUAGUGACGGUAAUGGGUAAAAAAGCACCGGCUAACUACGUG